ACCCAGGUAUCCAACUCCGCAUCCAGGGAACCCAGGCAUCCGGGCCCCCCAGCUCAGAACCCAGGUAUCCAACUCCGCAUCCAGGGAACCCAGGCAUCCGGGCCCCCCAGCUCAGAACCCAGGUAUCCAACUCCGCAUCCAGGGAACCCAGGCAUCCGGGCCCCCCAGCUCAGAACCCAGGUAUCCAACUCCGCAUCCAGGGAACCCAGGCAUCCGGGCCCCCCAGCUCAG